GAUGAACGCUAGCGGCAGGCUUAAUACAUGCAAGUCGAACGGUAACAGGUCUUCGGACGCUGACGAGUGGCGCACGGGUGAGGAACACGUACACAAUCUACCUUAUACUGGAGAAUAGCCCCGGGAAACUGGGAUUAAUACUCCAUAGUCUUUAAUGAUCACAUGGGAAAUAAAGUAAAGCUUCGGCGAUAUAAGAUGAGUGUGCGUCCCAUUAGAUUGUUGGUGAGGUAACGGCUCACCAAGUCGACGAUGGGUAGCUGGCGUGAGAGCGCGACCAGCCACACUGGCACUGAGACACGGGCCAGACUCCUACGGGAGGCAGCAGUAGGGAAUAUUGGUCAAUGGACGAAAGUCUGAACCAGCCAUGCCGCGUGGAGGAUGACUGCCCUCUGGGUUGUAAACUCCUUUUAUAUGGGAAGAAACCUCUGGAUUCACUCCAGAGCUGACGGUAUCAUAUGAAUAAGCACCGGCUAACUCCG
rnacentral:rRNA from 1 species